GACAGCCAGGAUGUUGGCUUAGAAGCAGCCAUCAUUUAAAGAAAGCGUAAUAGCUCACUGGUCGAGUCGGCCUGCGCGGAAGAUGUAACGGGGCUAAACCAUGCACCGAAGCUGCGGCAGCGACGCUGAUGCGUUGUUGGGUAGGGGAGCGUUCUGUAAGCCUGCGAAGGUGUACUGUGAGGUAUGCUGGAGGUAUCAGAAGUGCGAAUGCUGACAUAAGUAACGAUAAAGCGGGUGAAAAGCCCGCUCGCCGGAAGACCAAGGGUUCCUGUCCAACGUUAAUCGGGGCAGGGUGAGUCGACCCCUAAGG
rnacentral:rRNA from 1 species